rnacentral:rRNA from 1 species
AUUGAACGCUGGCGGCAUGCCUUACACAUGCAAGUCGAACGGUAACAGGUCUUCGGAUGCUGACGAGUGGCGAACGGGUGAGUAAUACAUCGGAACGUGCCUAGUAGUGGGGGAUAACUACUCGAAAGAGUGGCUAAUACCGCAUGAGAUCUACGGAUGAAAGCAGGGGAUCGCAAGACCUUGUGCUACUAGAGCGGCCGAUGGCAGAUUAGGUAGUUGGUGGGAUAAAAGCUUACCAAGCCGACGAUCUGUAGCUGGUCUGAGAGGACGAUCAGCCACACUGGGCCUGAGAAACGGCCCAGACUCCUACGGGAGGCAGCAGUGGGGAAUUUUGGACAAUGGGCGCAAGCCUGAUCCAGCAAUGCCGCGUGCAGGAUGAAGGCCUUCGGGUUGUAAACUGCUUUUGUACGGAACGAAAAGCCCUGGGUUAAUACCCUGGGGUCAUGACGGUACCGUAAGAAUAAGCACCGGCUAACUACGUGCCAGCAGCCGCCGUAAUAC